rnacentral:lncRNA from 1 species
AAGAAUAAAAACUCUCACCUGACUGGAGCACAAGGGGGACGCUACCCGUAUUUGAUUUUCUUCUUCUCUAAGCAUUUGAGGAAGGAUCUGGAACUGUUUAAAAGGGAGGGGUACGCUUUCUGUUUCUUCUUCAAAAAAAAAUCGGCCAUACACACACUGAAGACAGAAUACGAGAUCUGAAAGAAGAGCACAAAAAAAAAGAGAUCGUUUAAAAAAAAGAGCAAAAAUCUUCAUCUUCUUCAUUAGGAAAAUCCACCAUCAAAGCUCCAUAGCCAUGGCAACAACUUAACCCACCGUACAACACAGUAACGCCACCUUAGCUCCUCCUUAAACCACUGGCUGAAACUGACCCAAACACUAGAAUAAAAGAGCUUUAGUCAAGGUUUAAAGUUCCAUUCGAUAUUUUCGGCACGAGUCUCGGUCAUGGUUUGUUUGUACGAGAGCUUAGCAGUCCUUUAUUCUUUAUGUAUUGUAGAUUAUAUUUGAGCUAUUUAAAAGGUCCGUUCCUUUCCCUCUCUGCUUUUUGUUGUUGAUGAGAAAUGAAUCAAACCUAAGACUAAAUUGUUUGUCAUUCAAGUUAAAAGGCUAGCUCGUUCAUAAGAAAUUAGCGUGUUUAUCGGUUUUGUGGGUGAAUUCAUUGAUUGUGCUUGAUCUUUAUGUGUAUCAUGUCUUAAUUGAGGUAUAUUACUCCUGAAAUGUGCCACUAUUUUUGGGUAAAAUAUUGAAGGAUUUUUGUGUGUAUAGAGAGUGAAAGCGAGACAAUUGCACAUAUAAGGCAAAUAGAAAUUUUAUAGCAUAUUGUGUCUUCGUGAUUGCUCAACGUUGGUGCCAGAAAUAAUUAGUACUAUAUAGAUUUCCAAAGCAGGUAAAUGAAUUAGAGUUAUUUGGAUAUGAUUAAUGGGUACCUAAUUUGCUUGGUUUGGUUUGUGCGACUAAGGAGGUGUUUUAGAAAGAUGAGGUGAUAUUGCAAGGCUUCUGUCAUAUUUUCAAUCCACUGAUUUUUGCCUUGGCUUGUUUUACUUUUAUUCGUCACUUUUCACUAUGUCAGUUCAUUUAGUUCAUGCCUUCUGGAUAACUACCAAUUAGGUGUUUAUUUGUUUAAUUUGUAUAUGUCUCUAUGUUUACAAUUUGAUCUUUUGAUUUAGCUUAAUUAGAUCGUGUUUACUACUGUUUACAUGUUUAUUUGAAUGGAAUGAUCAGGGAUUUUGGGAGUUAAUUGUUAAGAAGGCUAUGAGCAUGAAAUCUCUUUUAGCAAAAGUGCUCCAUAAUCACAAACCUUUCUCCUGUAACCUCAAAGUAGUUUAGAAAACAAUUCAUAAAUAUCAUAGCUUGCUUUAUGCGCGAUUAAUUAAAUAAUUAUCAUGGCUACGAGUACGGUUUUCAUGACGUAGUUGUGAUUUGUAAUUAUUAAAAUCCGGGGGUGCAUUUCAUGUGACCCGAUUCUAAUUUCCAACAAGGUUAAAUAGAACAUGUUGUGAACCGCGAGUGCAUUUCAUGUAGCGUGGCUUGCGAUAUGUUUUAAAUAACCUUGAAUUAAUUCUUUAAAUAACUAAAAGAGGCUAAAAGGUUAAAAAUACACAUAGGUUUAAAAGUGUUUUAAAAUCAGAUAAAUAGGCCAAUAAUAAUAGUUGAACGACCGUGCUAGAACCACGGAAUCCGGAAAUGCCUAACACCUUCUCCCGAGUUAACAGAAUUCCUUACCCGGAUUUUUGUGUUCGCGGACCGUAAAUAGAGUCAAAUUUUCUUGAUUCGGGAUUUUUAACUGGUGACUUGGGACACCAUAAAUUAUCCCAAGUGACGACUCUAAUUUUAAUAUAAAUAAUUCCAUUUUGAUUGUCAUUUAAAUUAGAAAAAACUCCCUUAUACCCUUUGGGGGUAGGAAAAAGGAGGUGUGACAGCUCUGACGACUCUGCUGGGGAUAAGAACCCAAAACUUCUGGUUUAGGGUUCAGAAUUCGAGCUUAGAAUAUAUGUUAUAGUUGGCUUUAUUUAUUAUCUGAUUUUUAUUACAUGUUUGGGCCUAAUGUGUUAAAUGUUGCUUUUGCCGCUUUGAUAUUGUUGAACUAUAUAUAAAUUAUUGUGAAACCCUCCUCUCUCUGAGUUUUCUAAAUCAUCUGGGAAGUGUACACUUCGUGUGACUUCUCUUCUAUUGGAUAAUUUGGCGAUCUUUCAGCCCAUGAGAUGCAGUAUGUGGCAAUCUUUCAGCCCAUGAGAUGCAGGAUGAGGUGAUCUUUCAGCCUAUGAGAUGUAGUAUGUGGCGAUCUUUCAGCCCAUGCGGAUGUAGUAUGAGGCGAUCUUUCAGCCAUGCAGAUACAAUAGGUGGUGAUCUUCAGCCAUGCAACAUAGUAGGUGGCGAUCUUUCAGCCAUGCAACGUAGUAGGUGGUGAUCUUUCGGCCAUGUAAAUGUAGAUGAGGUGACGAUCUUUCAGCCAUGCAACAUAGUAGGUGGCGAUUUUUUAGCUAUGCAAAUGUAGAUGAGGUGGCGAUCUUUCAGCCAUGCAAAUGUAGAUGAGGCAGCGAUCUUUUAGCCAUGCAAAUGUAGUAGGUGGCGAUCUUUCAGCCAUGCAGACGUAGAUGAUGCGGCGAUCUUUCAGCCAUGCAAUUGUAAUAGGUGGCGAUCUUUCAGCCAUGUAGAUGCAGAUGGAGGUAGAGCUUAACCUUGGAAGGCAGAAUGAUAGCCUUAUGCAAUGUAGAAAAUGCAGAUGGAGACAACAUUUAGUCUCGGAAGGCAGAAUGGUAGCCUUAUGCAAUGCAAAAAAUGCAGUUGGAGACAAUAUUUCGUCUCGGAAGGCAGAAUGGUAGCCUUAUGCAAUGCAGAAAAUACAGAUAGAGACAGCGUUUAGUCUCAGAAGGCAGAAUGGUAGCCUUAUGCAAUGCAAAAAAUGCAGAUGGAGACAGCGUUUAGUCUCGGAAGGCAGAAUGGUAUCGUUAUGCAAGAAAUAAAAUGGCAAGUGGUAAUAGAGCUUUCUUAGCUGAUAUCAGGUUGCGAUAUUGUGACUGCUGGGGACAUUGUGACACACGGAAUGUCAUUGGUGUGUAUGGAUAGCAAAUAUGGGUAAGUGCAACGGUUCUGAGAGUUGUAUUCCUGAACAAUGUUCGUCUCCUGAGUGUAUGAUAUGUUUGAUGAUUGCGCAAUCCAAGUGCCUGCAUCCAAAGAAAAAUCGUGAGUUUUGUAAAGGGUGAGGUUAGUCCCCGCUGGCUCUACUUGACCUACUCGGCUUUGAUCUGGUGAUACUGUAUGUAUCAUUGGGGUAGCGUUGCUAAACAAAGCAAUUUCAGUAGUAAACAUGCAUGAUUUCAUAAAAAU